GGGACACGUGGUAUCCUGUCUGAAUAUGGGGGGACCAUCCUCCAAGGCUAAAUACUCCUGACUGACCGAUAGUGAACCAGUACCGUGAGGGAAAGGCGAAAAGAACCCCGGCGAGGGGAGUGAAAAAGAACCUGAAACCGUGUACGUACAAGCAGUGGGAGCACCUUCGGGUGUGACUGCGUACCUUUUGUAUAAUGGGUCAGCGACUUAUAUUCUGUAGCAAGGUUAACCGUAUAGGGGAGCCGCAGGGAAACCGAGUCUUAACUGGGCGUUAAGUUGCAGGGUAUAGACCCGAAACCCGGUGAUCUAGCCAUGGGCAGGUUGAAGGUUGGGUAACACUAACUGGAGGACCGAACCGACUAAUGUUGAAAAAUUAGCGGAUGACUUGUGGCUGGGGGUGAAAGGCCAAUCAAACCGGGAGAUAGCUGGUUCUCCCCGAAAGCUAUUUAGGUAGCGCCUCGUGAAUUCAUCUUCGGGGGUAGAGCACUGUUUCGGCUAGGGGGUCAUCCCGACUUACCAACCCGAUGCAAACUACGAAUACCGAAGAAUGUUAUCACGGGAGACACACGGCGGGUGCUAACGUCCGUCGUGAAGAGGGAAACAACCCAGACCGCCAGCUAAGGUCCCAAAGUCAUGGUUAAGUGGGAAACGAUGUGGGAAGGCACAGACAGCCAGGAUGUUGGCUUAGAAGCAGCCAUCAUUUAAAGAAAGCGUAAUAGCUCACUGGUCGAGUCGGCCUGCGCGGAAGAUGUAACGGGGCUAAACCAUGCACCGAAGCUGCGGCAGCGACACUAUGUGUUGUUGGGUAGGGGAGCGUUCUGUAAGCCUGCGAAGGUGUGCUGUGAGGCAUGCUGGAGGUAUCAGAAGUGCGAAUGCUGACAUAAGUAACGAUAAAGCGGGUGAAAAGCCCGCUCGCCGGAAGACCAAGGGUUCCUGUCCAACGUUAAUCGGGGCAGGGUGAGUCGACCCCUAAGGCGAGGCCGAAAGGCGUAGUCGAUGGGAAACAGGUUAAUAUUCCUGUACUUGGUG
rnacentral:rRNA from 1 species